UACGUAGGGAGCAAGCGUUGUCCGGAAUCAUUGGGCGUAAAGCGCGCGUAGGCGGUCCCCUAAGUCGGGUGUGAAAGCCCUGGGCUCAACUCAGGAAGUGCAUUCGAAACUCCCGAGCUCGAGUUUCGGAGAGGAAGGCGGAAUUCUCGGUGUAGAGGUGAAAUUCGUAGAUAUCGAGAGGAACACCGGUGGCGAAGGCGGCCUUCUGGACGAUGACUGACGCUGAGACGCGAAAGCGUGGGGAGCAAACAGG
rnacentral:rRNA from 1 species